GACGAACGCUGGCGGCGUGCUUAACACAUGCAAGUCGAACGGAAAGGCACUGAUAUUGUGGGGUGAUCGAGUGGGGAACGGGUGAGUAACACGAGAGUAACCUGCCCUUGACUUUGGGAUAACUUCAGGAAACUGGGGCUACUAUCGGAUCGCAGCUCCUGCUGCAUGGAGGGGGUUGGAACGUUUCGGCGGGUGUGGAUGGACGCGCGGGUUAUCAGCUAGUUGGUGGGGUAGUGGCUUACCCAGGCUUUGACGGGUAGCCCGCAUGAGAGGGUGACCGGCCACAUGGGUACUGAGGGACGCAGCAGUCGGCAACGGUGGGCAGUAGGCGGAAGUAUUGCACAGUGGGCCGAAGUGGGAGGCAGCAACGCCGCGUUCGGGAUGACGUCCUGCUGGGUGAGAACCGCAUUAGCCUGUGACGAAGCGGGUGUGACGGUAAUGGGUAAAGAAGCACCGGCUAACUACGUG
rnacentral:rRNA from 1 species